AAGAGCUUGCUUUUUUGAGACCGGCGCACGGGUGAGUAACGCGUAUGCAACCUACCUUAUACAGGGGAAUAGCCCGAAGAAAUUCGGAUUAAUGCUCCAUGGUUUAUCGAUAUGGCAUCGUAUUGAUAAUAAAGAUUUAUCGGUAUAAGAUGGGCAUGCGUAUCAUUAGCUAGUUGGUGUGGUAACGGCAUACCAAGGCAACGAUGAUUAGGGGUCCUGAGAGGGAGAUCCCCCACACUGGUACUGAGACACGGACCAGACUCCUACGGGAGGCAGCAGUGAGGAAUAUUGGUCAAUGGAGGCAACUCUGAACCAGCCAUGCCGCGUGCAGGAUGACGGUCCUAUGGAUUGUAAACUGCUUUUGUACAGGAAGAAACCUCCCUACGAGUAGGGACUUGACGGUACUGUAAGAAUAAGGAUCGGCUAACUCCGUGCCAGCAGCCGCGGUAAUACGGAGGAUCCGAGCGUUAUCCGGAAUUAUUGGGUUUAAAGGGUUCGUAGGCGGCUUUGUAAGUCAGUGGUGAAAUUUCCUAGCUUAACUAGGACACUGCCAUUGAUACUGCAGAGCUUGAAUAAUAUGGAAGUAACUAGAAUAUGUAGUGUAGCGGUGAAAUGCUUAGAUAUUACAUGGAAUACCAAUUGCGAAGGCAGGUUACUACGUAUUUAUUGACGCUGAUGAACGAAAGCGUGGGGAGCGAACAGGAUUAGAUACCCUGGUAGUCCACGCCGUAAACGAUGGAUACUAGCUGUUCGGUUUUCGGACUGAGUGGCUAAGCGAAAGUGAUAAGUAUCCCACCUGGGGAGUACGUUCGCAAGAAUGAAACUCAAAGGAAUUGACGGGGGCCCGCACAAGCGG
rnacentral:rRNA from 1 species